ensembl:lncRNA
CAGUAGAUGAGACGUGGAUGUUUCAUAUUCAGAACUAGAAACAUCUGCUCUAGGGAGACGUCCACAAUUUGAGUUUUCUCUAAAAUGCAGAAUUUAUUUGAUUUAAACAAAAACAUUAAGUUUAAAUUAUCCAGUGGAGAGGGUUUUUUAACUCUACUAUGAAACGCGUAAGUCCAGGAUAUGAGAGGAAAGCAAACUCAAAUGAAAUAGAACAUCUCCAGAUAAAUUCAUGUUCAAAUAAGAAAUUAAAGAAUGAAUAAACUGUAGCUAAGGUGACCUGAUCAGCAGAGAAUCCAUCCAGGCUUUGAGCUGUCAGUCUGCAGCCUCCCACGUGGUCAGCAGGGCGGGCGCAUCCCAAAUAGUUAGACUUGCAAUUUCAGAGGGGCAAACAACGGGAUCUAUGGGUGGACUCGCUUGUGAAUCUGAACGGUGCAGGAAACACAGUUUACUCUCUGCAUCAUUUACUCCCAUCUGCGCGCGCCUGCGGACUUUAAACUCCACCUGAAGACUGAGAAGUUCGGACAGAGUUUGGAGCGCUUCUUUGACAACUCUUAUUACAGUCUGGUUGCAGAACGGAAGGCUUUUAAAAAACCAAAAACCCGCACCGGUUGUUUUGUGUGGAGCCAGAUCGCGACAUGGAGACAUCCAGCGGCUCUGUGGCAGAGAGGAAGCCGGCGUCUGCGUGCUCCACCAAGUCCGUGGCGCAGCGAUGGCUGCCCGGGUUCCCCAUCGCUCUGUGCCUGCUGAUGUCCAUAAGCUCCAUCACCGUGUGUCUUCUGAUGAGCUUCAAGACCUACCAGCUGGAGAACCGGCUACAGAUGCAGAUGGAAAAGGCGUCCAUCUUCCAACCUUUGCGCAGGUCUUUUCAAAACGAGGAUGGGAGCCUUGUUUCAGAUCUGGCUGCUCCUAUAGGGGAUCUUGUAGAAGAGAAAGUAAAGACUCUGAUGCCAAAACUGCGGACAGCUAGAGAUGCUCCAGAGUGCGUCUGUCCUCCAGGUACCCAACCUUUUCACCCUGAUGGAAGUUUUACAGUCACUUUUCAUCUGAACACACCGCUCUGCAAGUUUGUGUGUGUGUGUUUUUUUUAUUCUGUGUGGAUUGAUGGUAAUGGAACUCCUAUACAAUGGUCAUGGUUCAGAGUGAAGCUGCAGGGCUCAACACAGAGGGUUCUGCACCCCUGUGAGCUCAGGGGACAUUGGAUGGAGCAACCACAGGCCAAGACUGGCCAGGUUUUAUUUGUGGUGUUG